CCCUACGGGGGGCAGCAGUGGGGGAUAUUGCACAAUGGGGGGAACCCUGAUGCAGCGACGCCGAGUGGGUGAAGAAGCGCCUCGGCGCGUAAAGCCCUGUCAGCAGGGAAGAAAAUGACGGUACCUGACUAAGAAGCCCCGGCUAACUACGUGCCAGCAGCCGCGGUAAUACGUAGGGGGCAAGCGUUAUCCGGAUUUACUGGGUGUAAAGGGAGCGUAGACGGCAGCACAAGUCUGGAGUGAAAUCCCGGGGCUUAACCCCGGAACUGCUUUGGAAACUGUGCGGCUGGAGUGCAGGAGGGGGA
rnacentral:rRNA from 1 species